rnacentral:rRNA from 2 species
GACGAACGCUGGCGGCGUGCCUAAUACAUGCAAGUCGAACGAACUCUGGUAUUGAUUGGUGCUUGCAUCAUGAUUUACAUUUGAGUGAGUGGCGAACUGGUGAGUAACACGUGGGAAACCUGCCCAGAAGCGGGGGAUAACACCUGGAAACAGAUGCUAAUACCGCAUAACAACUUGGACCGCAUGGUCCGAGUUUGAAAGAUGGCUUCGGCUAUCACUUUUGGAUGGUCCCGCGGCGUAUUAGCUAGAUGGUGGGGUAACGGCUCACCAUGGCAAUGAUACGUAGCCGACCUGAGAGGGUAAUCGGCCACAUUGGGACUGAGACACGGCCCAAACUCCUACGGGAGGCAGCAGUAGGGAAUCUUCCACAAUGGACGAAAGUCUGAUGGAGCAACGCCGCGUGAGUGAAGAAGGGUUUCGGCUCGUAAAACUCUGUUGUUAAAGAAGAACAUAUCUGAGAGUAACUGUUCAGGUAUUGACGGUAUUUAACCAGAAAGCCACGGCUAACUACGUGCCAGCAGCCGCGGUAAUACGUAGGUGGCAAGCGUUGUCCGGAUUUAUUGGGCGUAAAGCGAGCGCAGGCGGUUUUUUAAGUCUGAUGUGAAAGCCUUCGGCUCAACCGAAGAAGUGCAUCGGAAACUGGGAAACUUGAGUGCAGAAGAGGACAGUGGAACUCCAUGUGUAGCGGUGAAAUGCGUAGAUAUAUGGAAGAACACCAGUGGCGAAGGCGGCUGUCUGGUCUGUAACUGACGCUGAGGCUCGAAAGUAUGGGUAGCAAACAGGAUUAGAUACCCUGGUAGUCCAUACCGUAAACGAUGAAUGCUAAGUGUUGGAGGGUUUCCGCCCUUCAGUGCUGCAGCUAACGCAUUAAGCAUUCCGCCUGGGGAGUACGGCCGCAAGGCUGAAACUCAAAGGAAUUGACGGGGGCCCGCACAAGCGGUGGAGCAUGUGGCUUAAUUCGAAGCUACGCGAAGAACCUUACCAGGUCUUGACAUACUAUGCAAAUCUAAGAGAUUAGACGUUCCCUUCGGGGACAUGGAUACAGGUGGUGCAUGGUUGUCGUCAGCUCGUGUCGUGAGAUGUUGGGUUAAGUCCCGCAACGAGCGCAACCCUUAUUAUCAGUUGCCAGCAUUAAGUUGGGCACUCUGGUGAGACUGCCGGUGACAAACCGGAGGAAGGUGGGGAUGACGUCAAAUCAUCAUGCCCCUUAUGACCUGGGCUACACACGUGCUACAAUGGAUGGUACAACGAGUUGCGAACUCGCGAGAGUAAGCUAAUCUCUUAAAGCCAUUCUCAGUUCGGAUUGUAGGCUGCAACUCGCCUACAUGAAGUCGGAAUCGCUAGUAAUCGCGGAUCAGCAUGCCGCGGUGAAUACGUUCCCGGGCCUUGUACACACCGCCCGUCACACCAUGAGAGUUUGUAACACCCAAAGUCGGUGGGGUAACCUUUUAGGAACCAGCCGCCUAAGGUGGGACAGAUGAUUAGGGUG